AACAGGUAUCAGAGUAAAAUAAAUGAAUAAAAUAAAUAAGUAAAUGAAAAGAGACAAAAAUUUUCUCAGUAAAGGAUGAAGAGAGAUUCUAUAACUUACCCCACUAAGCUAAAUUCCUCUGGCCGCCUCGAUAUUAUCAAUGUAAGACACACCAAACACUUAAUUAAAGGGUCAGGCUCAUAUGGAAGAUAACAAAGACAAAAAAUCGUUAAGUAAAAUUAUGUCACUCUAAAAUGCGUUAUAUAAUUUUGUAACGCAAGGAGUGAGCUGCGCAGGGAGGGUGUGACAGUGUAACCUAUAUUGAACUGGUGUGUAAAUGCGUCACUGCAAUGUAUCACGAUUAUAUGAGACACAGGCACAGAAUAAGAGCAGGGUUAGUGUGGUAGACUGGCUUGAAAUUUCUUGGUAGGCAGCAGUUAAUCCGGCCCCCGUCCCCGUACAAUAACAAUAAUAAUAAUAAUGAAAUAAAUAAAUAAAUAAAUAAAUAAAAUAAAUGACUAGCAAAAACUGAAAGAAUCCUGUACCUGGCGACCUCUUAUUAAUAUAACUCACCUGUCUUCCUCACCUCACACCUGCCUCUCUCGUUCCGUCCCUCCCUCAUGGUCCCCUUCCGCCCCUCUCACAACACACCUGUCCCUCUCGCCCUGGCUGUCUCACCACACCUGCUUCUCCCAUCCCCAGGUAAGUUCAUUAAAGCUUCAGCGCUAGCCACACCUCAGCGGUCACGAGGUCACACCAGGGUCAAGCUUGCCGGCAAAAAGGUCAGAGUUCAUACAGGUGAUGUGCAAAUGCAGAAGGAAAGGUAUCACUCUCUCUCUCUCUCUCUCCUGUCAAGUCAGAUUUUUAUUUGGAUUUUAUUCCUUUUAAUGAAUGGACGAACGAAUUAAUGAAUGGCUGGAGUGAAUGAAAGGAGCUGUCGCGCGCGCACACACACACACACACACUAAAAGAAGAAGAAAAGACAAACAAGAACAUGAAAAAAAAUAUAUAUAUAGACAAAACACUAACCUACCCAAUCACUCACACACCCCACUCCAAACACCCCAAAAACCUAACCAAUCACCACCUGAAACAAGCACACCUGCAGUACAUAAUUAACACAAAACAAGACCAGUUACUUCCUUCACCUGUCCACCUUAUCUAAUCACGCUGGUACAUAUAAGAGCACACUCCAUCACGCCCUUUAUCUUAUCGUAUCCCAGUCCUGACCAUGCCUUCAUCUGAGCCACACAAAAGGCGUCCUCCUUAUCGCCUCCUCACCGGGCCGCGCUGGAACACACCUGCCCACACCUCCCAGGCAGGCAGGAAGAGGAGGCGGAGGAGAACUACACCAACAACAAUAACACCACUACUAUCACCACCACCACCACCACCACCAACAACAACAACAGGACGGGGAUAUCUGAGGAACCUUCUACAACACUAUCGUUUCCUUCACUAGAUGUCGCGCUGAACAGUUAUCCAGGGAGUCUAUAGACCUGCACCACCUUCGGGAUUCUGCAGGCUUGAAUAGAUGCAAACUGUAUUCUACUCGUAUCCUCCACGCCUGAAUGAAUAAAUGUCCUCUGUGUGGAAUAGUGUUGGUAUUGUACUGCACAAGAUGAGCUGCACUGUGAAAA